rnacentral:rRNA from 1 species
CUUACCGGGUCCGGACACACUGAGGAUUGACAGGCAAAAGAUACAAGUUUUCUUUGUGAGAGCUUGCACUGUAAAAUAUGCGAGUCCUUUCAUGAUUAUGUGAUAGGUGGUGCAUGGCCGUUCUUAGUUCGUGGAGUGAUCUGUCUGCUUAAUUGCGUUUCACAACGAUUUAAAAUGCUAUGUUUUCUGUGUUUGCUGUUCGGUUUUAGCUCUUACGGGAGUUUUUAACUUUGAACGCACACGGCGUAGCUUAAAACAAUCGGAAAGCAACGAACGUGACCGCAACCUCUUGUCGCCUUUAUUUUUAAAAGCGUAGAAAAUUUUAUAUUUUCUUACGCUUGAAAAAGGCUUUAAAACUAGAGGGACCGCUGUUCUAUUCUCUUAAACCAGAGGAAGAUUGCGGCAAUAACAGGUCUGUGAUGCCCUCAGAUGUUCCGGGCUGCACACGUGCUACAAUGAUUGUUGCAGUGAGCAUCUAUUUUCAAACGCUACCGUUGCGGAUUUUGUGAGAAGGGGGCUUGUUUUAAAGCUUUCGGGUGGAGAAGCAGGUUCUUUUUUUCACAAUUUAUUCCGCGUUACGUGUCAGCUAAACCUGCUUCGAAAGCAAGUAGGUAAUCAAUUGGAAGUAACGAUUUCCAUUUUUUGGAAAGCACAACUUUUUGGUUCGUAUGGUACUGCGAAGUUAACGCAGUUUACUGUGUCUUUCUCUCGUCGGUAUUCACACGGAUAUCUGUGCUACUAUUUUUAAAAUUCAAGGUGGGGACAGACCAUUGUUAAUUGUUGGUCUCGUUUUAACUAGGAAUGCCUUGUACGGGUUGGUUCAUCAAACCACCCGGAAUACGUCCCUGCCCUUUGUACACACCGCCCGUCGCUCUUACCGAUGGACUUCUCUGUGAGGUUGAGGGACUGGGUCCUUUGCGACCUACGGAAACUCAUUCGGACAGGGUGGUCUAAGGGAAAGAGAAGUCGUAACAAGGC